rnacentral:rRNA from 1 species
GUUCGGCAAUUUGGAAUCCUAGCCCGACCCCUCUUCAAUCUCCUCAAGAAGGGAACACCGUUCGUCUGGACAGAUAACACAGAGCAAAGUUUCCAGGUUCUCAAACAGAGUUUGGUCACAGCACCGGUGCUUGCCCUGCCAAACUUUCAGAAGCAGUUCACGGUAGAAACAGAUGCAUGUGGUACAGGUAUUGGAGCAAUUUUGCAGCAAGAAGGACACCCCAUCGCCUUCAUGAGCAAAGCCCUCUGCCCCAAGUACCAGAGCCUAUCCACAUACGAGAAAGAAUACUUGGCAGUGAUCGCUGCAGUCGAUCAAUGGCGACCAUACUUGCAAUCUGCAGAAUUCAUCAUCAAGACAGAUCACCGCAGCUUGGUUUAUUUGCAGGAGCAGAGGCUCACGACCCCUUGGCAACAACGAGCUUUCACCAAGUUGUUGGGCUUGCAAUACAAGAUCGUCUGUAAGAAGGGCGUGGAAAAUGGAGCCGCAGAUGCACUAUCUCGCCUACACCACUCAGAACACGCCAUGGUGAUCUCCAGCUGCCAGCCAGCAUGGCUCGAUGAUAUCGUGUCAAGUUACAACUCCAACCCCCAAGCACAGCGUCUGUUGGAACAGUUGGCAAUCAGACCAGACCCAAAAGGGCGUUUCAGCUUGUCGCAAGGGCUUCUACGUUUUAGAGACUGUAUUUGGCUCGGAGGGAGCACCGCGCUGCAGCAGCAGAUCAUCUCGGCGUUCCAUGACAGCCCAGUGGGAGGACAUUCAGGAUUUCCAGCCACAUACAAGCGAAUCAGGCGCUUGUUUGCUUGGCCCAAAAUGAAGGCUCACAUUCUUCAGUAUGUGCAAUGCUGCGAAAUCUGUCAACAAGCUAAAGCAGAGCGAGUGGCUUCACCAGGAAUGCUCCACCCGCUUCCUAUUCCCAUCAAAUCAUGGGAUAUGAUCACGAUGGAUUUCAUCGAUGGUCUCCCGCAAUUAGGUCAGUACAAUUGCAUCUGGGUUUUGGUCGACAAGAUGACCAAGUUUGCUCAUUUCUUGCCACUUGCCCAUCCUUAUACUGCUUCUCGCGUUGCUCUCCUCUACAUG